UACAGAGGUCCCAAGCGUUAGGCGGAAUCACUGGGCUUAAAGCGUGUGUAGGCGGAUUUGUAAGUACUUUGUGAAGCCCCACGGCUCAACCGUGGAACUGCUUGGUAUACUGCUUAUCUUGGGCCAUCUAGGGGCGAGCGGAACAAACGGUGGAGCGGUGAAAUGCGUAGAUAUCGUUUGGAACGCCAAUGGUGAAAACAGCUCGCUGGGGAUGUGCCGACGCUGAGAUACGAAAGCCAGGGGAGCGAACGGG
rnacentral:rRNA from 1 species